CAAGUCGAACGGUGAAGCCCUUCGGGGUGGAUCAGUGGCGAACGGGUGAGUAACACGUGGGCAAUCUGCCCUGCACUCUGGGACAAGCCCUGGAAACGGGGUCUAAUACCGGAUAUGACCUUCCUCUGCAUGGGGGUUGGUGGAAAGCUCCGGCGGUGCAGGAUGAGCCCGCGGCCUAUCAGCUUGUUGGUGGGGUAAUGGCCUACCAAGGCGACGACGGGUAGCCGGCCUGAGAGGGCGACCGGCCACACUGGGACUGAGACACGGCCCAGACUCCUACGGGAGGCAGCAGUGGGGAAUAUUGCACAAUGGGCGAAAGCCUGAUGCAGCGACGCCGCGUGAGGGAUGACGGCCUUCGGGUUGUAAACCUCUUUCAGCAGGGAAGAAGCGCAAGUGACGGUACCUGCAGAAGAAGCACCGGCUAACUACGUGCCAGCAGCCGCGGUAAUACGUAGGGUGCGAGCGUUGUCCGGAAUUAUUGGGCGUAAAGAGCUCGUAGGCGGCCUGUCGCGUCGGAUGUGAAAGCCCGGGGCUUAACCCCGGGUCUGCAUUCGAUACGGGCAGGCUGGAGUGUGGUAGGGGAGAUCGGAAUUCCUGGUGUAGCGGUGAAAUGCGCAGAUAUCAGGAGGAACACCGGUGGCGAAGGCGGAUCUCUGGGCCAUUACUGACGCUGAGGAGCGAAAGCGUGGGGAGCGAACAGGAUUAGAUACCCUGGUAGUCCACGCCGUAAACGUUGGGAACUAGGUGUUGGCGACAUUCCACGUCGUCGGUGCCGCAGCUAACGCAUUAAGUUCCCCGCCUGGGGAGUACGGCCGCAAGGCUAAACUCAAAGGAAUUGACGGGGGCCCGCACAGCAGCGGAGCAUGUGGCUUAUUCGACGC
rnacentral:rRNA from 1 species